rnacentral:rRNA from 1 species
UACGAAGGGGGCGAGCGUUGUUCGGAAUCACUGGGCGUAAAGGGCGCGUAGGCGGCCCUCUUAGUCGCGUGUGAAAGCCCCGGGCUCAACCUGGGAACGGCGCGCGAAACGGGAGGGCUGGAGUUCGGGAGAGGAGAGUGGAAUUCCCAGUGUAGAGGUGAAAUUCGUAGAUAUUGGGAAGAACAUCGGUGGCGAAGGCGGCAUCCUGGACCGGUAUUGACGCUGAGGCGCGAAAGCCAGGGGAGCAAACGGG